rnacentral:rRNA from 1 species
GACGAACGCUGGCGGCGUGCCUAACACAUGCAAGUCGAACGGAGUUGAUCUUCGGAUUAACUUAGUGGCGAACGGGUGAGUAACGCGUGAGAAACCUGCCUUUCAGUGGGGGACAACAGUUGGAAACGACUGCUAAUACCGCAUAAUGUUAUCGGAUCGCAUGGUCUGAUAACCAAAGCUUUAUGUGCUGAAAGAUGGUCUCGCGUCUGAUUAGCUAGUUGGUGAGGUAACGGCUCACCAAGGCGACGAUCAGUAGCCGGCCUGAGAGGUUGAUCGGCCGCAUUGGGACUGAGACACGGCCCAGACUCCUACGGGAGGCAGCAGUGGGGAAUAUUGCGCAAUGGGGGGAAACCCUGACGCAGCAACGCCGCGUGAAGGAAGAAGGCCUUCGGGUUGUAAACUUCUUUGUCAGGGACGAUAGUGACGGUACCUGACGAAUAAGCCACGGCUAACUACGUG